CGCGUAGGCGGCUCGCUAAGUUGGAUGUGAAAACUCUGGGCUUAACCCAGAGCCUGCAUCCAAAACUGGCAAGCUUGAGUACUGGAGGGGAAAGCGGAAUUCCUGGUGUAGCGGUGAAAUGCGUAGAUAUCAGGAGGAACACCGGUGGCGAAGGCGGCUUUCUGGACAGUAACUGACGCUGAGGCGCGAAAGCUAGGGAGCAAACA
rnacentral:rRNA from 1 species